rnacentral:rRNA from 10 species
GUCUACGGCCAUACCACCCUGAACGCGCCCAAUCUCGUCUGAUCUCGGGAGUAAAGGGGACUCUGUCUUACAGGAAGGGUACAAGCUCAACCACAGUGGGGUAGAAC